UGCAUUCACUAAUGUAAGUCGCUCUGGAUAAGAGCGUCUGCUAAAAAUGACUAAAA
rfam:Salmo salar isolate Sally breed double haploid chromosome ssa22, whole genome shotgun sequence.